GAGAUCAGCUGACGGACCACGCUUUGGAGUACAUGAAAAAACAAACAAAACCCUAGAUUUGAAAUCUAGGGUUUUGAAAAGAAAUGCAGGAGGUGGAGAAAAGGAGAGGAAAAGAAAGAAAAGACAAAGAGAAAGAGAGAGAGAGAGGUUGAGACUUUGAGGGUGAGAGAGAGAGGGGAGGAAUUAGGGGAAAAAAAAUAAAGAUGAAUUGAAAAAUAAAGAGCUUUUGAAUUAAAGUAUGAAAGUUG
rnacentral:lncRNA from 1 species